rnacentral:lncRNA from 10 species
GGUGGAGACCCAGCGUGAAGGAGGCUGUGUCUGUAAGGCAGGGAAAAAAGCCUUCACCAGGAACCAGUGCUGGCACCCUGAUGUCAGACUUCAAGCCUCCAAAGCUGUGAGGGUACUGGUAGCCGCAUAAAACAAGUUGGGGCAUAUUCCAACAAAAUAGAACAUUUUGUGAAAGAGUGUAUAUGAAAAAGUUACUUCUUCCUUGAAUGUGUAAUAGAAUUCACCAGUGGAACCACCAGGGAUUGACAAUUUCUUUAUGGGUAGCCCUACAAUUUCAACCACAUCCUUGCCAAAGCUUUGGUGACUAGAGUGCUCUGGGAUCCUGAGAAGAAGAAAAGAAAAUGAGACCAAUAUUGAGACAGGACAAAUUAAAUUA